rnacentral:rRNA from 1 species
CCUACGGGGAGCAGCAGUGGGGAAUAUUGGACAAUGGGCGAAAGCCUGAUCCAGCCAUGCCGCGUGUGUGAAGAAGGCCUUCGGGUUGUAAAGCACUUUCAGUGGGGAAGAAAGCCUUGGGGCUAAUACCCUCGAGGAAGGACAUCACCCACAGAAGAAGCACCGGCUAACUCCGUGCCAGCAGCCGCGGUAAUACGGAGGGUGCGAGCGUUAAUCGGAAUUACUGGGCGUAAAGCGCGCGUAGGCGGUCUGAUAAGCCGGUUGUGAAAGCCCCGGGCUCAACCUGGGAACGGCAUCCGGAACUGUCAGGCUAGAGUGCAGGAGAGGAAGGUAGAAUUCCCGGUGUAGCGGUGAAAUGCGUAGAGAUCGGGAGGAAUACCAGUGGCGAAGGCGGCCUUCUGGACUGACACUGACGCUGAGGUGCGAAAGCGUGGGUAGCAAACAGGAUUAGAUACCCGUGUAGU